CCUACGGGAGGCAGCAGUGAGGAAUAUUCGUCAAUGGGCGGAAGCCUGAACCAGCCAAGUCGCGUGCAGGAUGACGGCCCUACGGGUUGUAAACUGCUUUUAUACGGGAAUAACGCGCCUUACGUGUAGGGCUUUGCAUGUACCGUAUGAAUAAGGACCGGCUAAUUCCGUGCCAGCCGCCGCGGUAAUACGGAAGGUCCGGGCGUUAUCCGGAUUUAUUGGGUUUAAAGGGAGCGUAGGCGGCAUGUCAAGCGUGCUGUGAAAUGUCCGGGCUCAACCCGGGCCUUGCAGCGCGAACUGGCGUGCUUGAGUCCGCGGAAAGCAGGCGGAAGUCGACGUGUAGCGGUGAAAUGCUUAGAUAUGACGAAGAACCCCGAUUGCGAAGGCAGCUUGCUGCAGCGGAACUGACGCUGAUGCUCGAAAGCGCGGGUAUCGAACAGGAUUAGAUACCCUAGUAGUC
rnacentral:rRNA from 1 species